rnacentral:rRNA from 1 species
UACGUAGGGUGCAAGCGUUGUCCGGAAUUAUUGGGCGUAAAGAGCUCGUAGGUGGCUUGUCACGUCGGGUGUGAAAUCCCCAGGGCUUAACUCUGGGUCUGCAUUCGAUACGGGCUGGCUAGGGUCCUUCAGGGGAGACUGGAAUUCCUGGUGUAGCGGUGAAAUGCGCAGAUAUCAGGAGGAACACCGGUGGCGAAGGCGGGUCUCUGGGAAGGUACCGAGCUGGAGGAGCGAAAGCGUGGGGAGCGAACAGG